rnacentral:lncRNA from 1 species
UUUCAGGUUUCCAACUUCAAUAGGUAAAUUACCAGUAAAGUUAUUUUUAGAUAAAUCAAGAUAAAUAGACAAUGAAGAGAGAUUUAGGACUUGUGAAGGUAUGGAACCACUUAAUUUGUUUUGAGAAAGAUCUAAUCCAAGCAAGUUUUCACAUUUGCCAAUAUUUGAUGGAAUAUUACCUGAAAGGUUGUUUUCAAAAGCAAGGAAUUGAAUUAUAUUCGUUAAGUUUCCGAUAGAGGAUGGAAUUUCUCCUGAAAACAUGUUAUUGUUCAAAGCAAACACAACUAGAUUUCGAAGUUUUCCAAUACUAUCAGGAAUAAAACCUGAAAGUUUGUUAUUCCACACCUCAAAAUCCUGCAGGCUUACAAGAUUGCCUACGUCAGAUGGAAUGUUUCCAAUUAUUUGAUUGUUAUCAAGUAAAAAUAUCAUCAAACUAGUUGAAAGAUUGCCAAUGGUUUCAGGUAUCGUUCCUCCAAAGUUAUUUCCAUUAAUGCCCAAUUCUUCUAGCACAGUGGCAUUGAGAAGAGAGAAAAGGAAACUCAAGUCAUCAGAAUCCCCAUUUCCCAGAUAGUUUGAAGUAACAGAAAAAGCACGAAGUUUAUUCAACUUUGCCAGAGAAGGAACUUGUCCAGUAAGCUUGUUUUUUAGCAAAGAAAGUAGCUGCAAAUUAGUGGCAUUAGAAAAAGAAGAAGGGAUUUGUCCAGUGAACUCAUUAGAACUAAUAGCAAAAAAUCUAAUCUUAGGAAGCGAAGAGCCUAAUUCUGAAGGAAGAUUUCCAUGGAGAUGAUUCUCUCCUAUGUCAAAUUCUGUUAUAGAGGAAAGAUUAAAGAUUGAUGAAGGGACGAUACCUGAAAGCCUAUUUGAACGUAGACUCAAGAACUGAAGAUUGGUUAACUGGCCUAAAUAGUAAGGUACAGUUCCUGCCAAGCCAUUGACAGCUAAGGAGAGUAGCAGAAGCUGUGACAAAUUUCCAAGUGAAUAAGGGAUAGUUCCUGAUAGAUUGUUUUCAAAUAAGGAAAGAACUUGAAGUUUCGAUAACGAACCCAAUUUUUCAGGAAUAUCUCCCUUCAACUUAUUAUUACCUAACCGAAUAACAAUGAGAUUUGAACAACUUGAUAUAUUACUGGGCAUUUUUCCACUUAUCGAAUUGUUAUUCAGUCUGAGUUCUUCCAGUCUUCUUAAGUGACCAAUCUGCUCCGGGAUUUGAUAGAUGAAGCUGUUGUUGUUUAAAUUCAGUAUCUUCAAGAAGGUCAAGUUGCGAAUGUAAGGUGAUAUAGAGCCAUCAAGUGCCAAGGACUGCAGGUUUAAUUCCAUGACUCGCCGGUGUGACCGACCACAGGUUAUGCCUUGCCAUUGACAGAAAUGGAUUGUAUGAUUCCAUGAGCUUAAAACCUGAAAUGGGUCUCGAGUUAUUUUGGCUUUGAAUUGAAGUAAGGCUUCGAGGUCAGUCUCAUUGCUGGUAGAAGCAAAGGCAGUAGAGGUAAAUAAAAAGAGAAGAACAUAAACAUAGAUGCAAAGAGAUGAGAAAGGAUGUAAUAGGUUGUUGUUCAUGGAGAAAUUGAAGUAAGAACUAUGAAAUAAAAGAUUGAAGAUCAUAUGAGAAGAUAAUGGAUGGAAUUGAGGUACAUUUAUUUGGUGUAUUAAGAGAAAUGCAAUAGAUACAGAGAAAACAAUGGUUCAAAAGUUUGAAUUUUCAUCCAAUUUCGCACAUUAUUUAUUUGGCAGGUGAGUGGUGUGGCACAGGACUGGAUGGAAUUGAGGUACCUUUAUUUGGUGUAUUAAGAGAAAGGCCAUAGAUACAGAGAAAACGAUGGUUCAAAAGUUUGAAUUUUCAUCCAAUUUCGCACAUUAUUUAUUUGGCAGGUGAGUGGUGUGGCACAGGACUGGAUGGAAUUGAGGUACCUUUAUUUGGUGUAUUAAGAGAAAGGCCAUAGAUACAGAGAAAACGAUGGUUCAAAAGUUUGAAUUUUCAUCCAAUUUCGCACAUUAUUUAUUUGGCAGGUGAGUGGUGUGGCACAGGACUGGAUGGAAUUGAGGUACCUUUAUUUGGUGUAUUAAGAGAAAGGCCAUAGAUACAGAGAAAACGAUGGUUCAAAAGUUUGAAUUUUCAUCCAAUUUCGCACAUUAUUUAUUUGGCAGGUGAGUGGUGUGGCACAGGACUGGAUGGAAUUGAGGUACCUUUAUUUGGUGUAUUAAGAGAAAGGCCAUAGAUACAGAGAAAACGAUGGUUCAAAAGUUUGAAUUUUCAUCCAAUUUCGCACAUUAUUUAUUUGGCAGGUGAGUGGUGUGGUACAGAUAGGACUUUUUUAAUUUCAAUUUUUGGUGUUAUCUUUAGACCCUCUGUAUUGGGUGGGUGGAGGAUCCAUAGUAGUAUCAGUUUGACAUGGGUUGACUGAUUUAGUCGCCCGUCAAUGCAUAUAAGAAUUACUGUUUAUGAGUAAGACAAGAUAUUGAAAAAUAUUAAAAUUUCGAAUGUUUAUCCAUAAAUUUUUGCAUAAAUUUUAGUUUGUAGUUCACAUGCACAAAAUAAAUCUAAAUUACAACCUAAUUUAGACUUCGAUUAAUUUUUUUUUUCUCCUAGAUACUCGAAUUAAACGUUCUUAAAUAGAUAUAAUAAUAGUUAUUUUUUCCUUUAAAAAAAAUAGUUAUUUUUUUUGUUAAAAGAGCUUUGUAUAUUUAAGGUUUAAUAAAUUUUUCAAAAACAUAUAAAAAGAAAAAAUGAAAGAACAGCUUUUGAAAAGAAAUUUCAAACCCAAAAACUAUUGGAACAAAAGAAAAAAGAGUUCCCUAGUGCUUUUAUCUGUGUUUCCACUAACACGACUGUGAAACUUUUUUUCAACAAUCGUAAGUGCUCCACUUAAGCAGAUAAUGGACAAUCUUUAUAGCAAUUAAUUAUUGAUCAUAUGGAAAGACUUAAGAGAAGAAUGAGUUUCCUAUACUACAACUAAUGAAAUUGUUCAGGUAAAUUAUAAGAUUUUUUUUUAUUUUUUUGAAAAUGAUUAUUUGAUGAAAUUUUAUUUGAAAAUGAUUAUUUGAUAAUUUGACUUCAAUAAAGUACAAAAAAUAUAAAUGACUUUAACAAAAUUUCUCCAAAAACUGUCAACAACACUUGCAUCAAUUUUAGCUACAACAGCUAUAGCUGUAACUUUAACACUCCUCCUUGAUGCAAGAGUUGAGACAAACACCAAGUCUAUUCCUAAGAAAUUCAAAUCUUGGUUUUUGCAAUGCCUUGGUGAAAAUAUCUACUGUUUGGUCUUCAGAACUGCAAUGAACAACCUAAAUUUUAUUUUCCUUUUCAGCUUCACGUAUUGCAUGGUACUUGAUUUUUUAUACUUGGUUUUUCUAUGUAAGAUUGGAUUCUUAACUAUAGUAACAGCUGAUUUGUUGUCACAAAGUAUUUUAGUUGGAUUCUCUUGGUGAAAAUUCAUAAUCAUCUUCAACUCCUCCUCCAUCGCAGCUUUCCACUCAGGCAAUUUUAAGGCUUCAUCCACUUGAGUUGGUUCAAGUGAGACAACAUUACAUCUGCUGUAAAUUUCAUCUAGGGAUCUAGUCCCUCUAAUUGCAUAAUCAUCUUCAUUUGAUUCUUUUUCAUUAUCAACAGGAAGUUCUUGCUCUUGCUGGAAAUGAUCUUGUUCAAGAACUGAUUUAGAAUUUCUUGGCUCCAUUUUACUCCAAUCCCAUUCUCAUCGAAUUUGACACUCCUGCUGACAUACACCUGUUUAGUAACAGGAUCCAAAAUUCUGUAGGCUUUGGAUUCAUUGUUAUUUUUAACUACAGAUGGCAAAUCAGCAACUAACUUCUUGGAUUACAGCAAUUUUAAUGAAUUGAGAUUAGUAUGACCAAGUCUCUUAUGCCACAAAUCAGAGUCUUCUUUAUGACUCAAGCAAGAUUCUUCUUCGAAGUUUCUUAAGUUUAGAGGAAAGCUUCUCCGUUUCAUUUUGACAGCAAAUAACUUUGAGCCAGAAGGAUCACUUAUUUCACAAGUUUUAUCUUUAAAUAGCAAACUGUAAUUCUUAUCCAGCAAUUGACCAACCGAAAACAAGCUUUGAUUUAGUUUCGGUACGUAAAGAACAUUGGAAACAAGCUUUGUACUUGAAGGAGUUUGUACAAUCACAUCUCCUUUGCCUUUAACAUCAACAAGCCUACCAUCUCCAAGUCUAACUUUUGAAGAAUAGUUUGUAUCCAAGCUAUCGAAAUUCACCAAAUUUGGUGUCAUAUGGUUAGUGCAGCCACUAUCAACAAGCCAUGCUUCUUUAGCUUCAAUUGAGACACCACAUUUUUCAAUUUCACUUGCAGCAAAUAGUUGUUCUUCAUACUUUUCAGAAUUUUCGGUGACUUGUGCAUGAUAGGCUUGUGUUUAUUGAUUCUGGUUUGUAGAACAAACUUUCUCGGUGUGACCAAAUUGCUUACAAACCUUACAUUGAGCUCCAGGUUUGAAUUAGCAGUAGUUCUCAGUGUGGUUUGGUUUUUCGCAAUGUGGACAAGGUGGAAAUCUGUCCUUCCUCCAAUUUUUCUGAAAUUCUUCUUCAUUUUUGGUUGUUGAGUCACUACAAGAGCCUUCUCUCCAAAAGUUUCUUCUUCCCUAUAGGCUUUUCUUUGUUCUACAGCUUGUAGAGCAUUUGAAAGCACAUUCAAGGAUAUUUGUGACAUGUCCCAAGUUUCUUCAAGAGAAGAAAUCUUGGCUUCAAAUUUUUCAGGGAGAGUCACCAUAACUUUCUCCACAAUUCUCUUCUCUUCUAACUCUUCUCCCAACAAUCGAAUUUGGUUUACAAUUUUCAUAACUCUAUCAAUAUAAUCUUUUACCUUUUCAUUGUCCUUCGUUUUCAACAUUUCAAAUUCUUUUCUUAAAUUAAAUAUCUGCAUCUGUCUAGUUUUUUCAGAUCCAUGAUACUCAAUUUUUAACUUCUCCCAAGCUUCAUGUGCUGUCUCACAUCCCAUAAUCUUGGUGAAGACAGGAUCUGCAACAGCUGCAUGGAUAUAGGACAGAGCUUUUGGAGCCUUAGCAACCUCUUCUUCAUGUUGUCUAAUCUGCUGAAGGGUUGGAUUUUGAUUAAGAGGUGGAGGUACUCUGUUUUCCUCCACAUACUGCCAUAAUGCAAGCCCUUUAAAAUAAGCUCUCAUCUUCUUAGCCCAAACAUGAUAGUUUUCCCCAUUAAAAUGAGGUGGUGAAAGAGACAUGUUGCUGGAAGCCGUUUGAGGAAAAGCAAAUAAACAAAAAACUUCACAAAUUCUGGUUUAUUUGGUGGCUUUCACUAUGAUUUUCACUCAAAUACACACACACAGCCCUUUGAGAUCAAGGUUACUCUGACACCACUUGUUGGUUUAGAAGAGCAGAAAAAUUAAGAAAGAGAAGGAAAAAUCUGCAAAGAAGGAAAAAUCUACAGAUUUUGUAAGUGUGGAGAAACAAGUAUUCACCUCUCAUUUUUUUCAUUACAGCAUAAUGUAAAUAUUUAUACUAAACUUAUUCUAAAGUUUGUUCACCAACCUUCCAUAAGUCAAGGAAGGUUGUUCACCAAACCUACCUAAAAGUAAGGUAAUUCAAUUACUUCUUGACUUCAAUAAAGUACAAAAAAUCUAAAUGACUUUAACAAAAUUUCUCCAAAAAUUGUCAACAUCACUUGCAUCAAUUUUAGCUUCAAGAGCUAUAGCUAUAACUUUAACAACAACUAUAAUUGACAGUAAAAGAGCCACAUGAAAAUUAUAAAUGUAAUAGUUAUUGGAUUUUCAUUCAAUAAUCCUCCUUGAAUAUUAGGCCCAUAAUCCUAAAACUCUUUCCUUAAUUUCAUUUUUACUAGUUAUCAUGAUCUUUUCAUUCCUUCUCUCUUUCUUCUAAUAAUAUAAUGCAAUAUGAAGCCAUUUUCGUAACCCAAAUACAUAUAUAUAUGAAGCAUAACUAGAACAAGCUUUUACCCUUCCAACUGCCAAGACAAUUCAAUCUAGACAUAAUUGACAAAUGGCCUUUUCUAUAUCCUACUUUCCUAUUUCUUUUACAUCUGCUACCCUUUUCAGGCUCCUUGUUGAGAAUGAUAUAAAGCGAGAACAAAUUCUCAUUUUACUAUCGUUAAUGGCUACUGCAUGUGGAUUAUUUUCAUUGCUACUCCUGAUUUUGGCUAUCUCUGCAAAAACCAUUGAAGCCUCCACUUUCCGACCUAAACGAUCAGUCACUAAAUUGAUUCACCACGAUUCCAUUCUCUCACCAUAUUACAACCCAAAUGACACUAUUGCAGACCGAACAGAACGAACUAUGAAAGCCUCAGCUACCUGGAUGGCUUACUUGUAUGCGCAGAUUGCAAGAAAUAAAUGCAGAAAUGAUCUUCAGCUAAAUCUCGUUCCUAGUGUCUUUGAACCCUUGUUCAUGGUGAGUUUCUCCAUCGGACAACCACCUGUUCCACAAUUACCAAUAAUGGACACAGGCAGUAGUCUCUUAUGGGUACAAUGAGCACCCUGCAAACGUUGUUUACAACAGCCUGGUUCAUUACUAGACCCCUCCAAAUCUUCUACUUAUGCUACCUUGUCAUGUAGGGACACUGUGUGCCGCGAUGCCCCAGGCAGCAAAUGCAACUGGUUGAAUCAGUGCAUGUACAACCAAACUUACGUGGGAAGUCUGCCGUCCGUCGGAGUUCUUGCCACUGAACAAAUCAUCAUUCACAAUUCAGAUGGAAGCACAAAUGCUGUGCCUUAUGUGGUAUUCGGAUGCAGCCAUGAGAAUGGCAAUUAUAGAGACCGGCGUUUCACUGGCAUAUUUGGUCUAGGCAAUGGAAUCACAUCUUUUGUAACUCAAAUGGGUUCUAAGUUUUCUUAUUGCAUAGGCAACAUUGCUGAUUCUCACUAUAAAUAUAACCAGUUGGUCAUCGGCGAUGGUGCAAAUAUUGAAGGUUCUUCAACACCUUUAGAAGUAGUUGCUGGCCAUUACUGUGUUACUCUGGAAGGCAUUAGUGUUGGGGAAAAAAGGCUCAACAUAGAUUCUACUGCAAUUAGAAGUAAAAGGAAAGGACAAGCUGUAAUAAUUGAUUCUGGAACUGCACUAACCUGGUUGGCCAAAAAUUUAUAUAGAGCGCUUGGUGAUGAAGUUCAGUCUCUCUUGGAUAGAGUCCUUAUACCAUUUUGGCGAGAGUCAUUUCUCUGUUACAAGGGAAGAGUGGACCAGGACCUUACUGGGUUUACUUUAGUGACAUUUCACUUCGCAGGAGGAGCAGAUUUAGAGUUGGACAGUGAAAGCAUGUUCUAUCAAGCCACACCAUAUGUACUUUGCAUGGCCAUGAGACAAGCCAGCACCAACAGCAAUAAUUUUACAGAUUUUUCUGUAGUUGGGUUAAUGGCUCAGCAAUACCAUAAUAUGGGUUAUGAUCUUGAUAAACAUGAGUUAUUCUUCCAGAGGAUUGAUUGCGAACUCCUAGUUGACUGAAUCUGUCAUCACAGGCUUCACAAAUCAUACAUAGAACAUAAAUGCAUACAUUGGUUUGCAAGUCCUUUGUUCUAUUAUUUGUGACGUUCGCAAAUCAUUGCUUGGUAAUAGCUCUUGCUCUAGCUUCUAGUAGUCAUGGUAUUACAACAACAACCAUCAGUGGCACAAAACUGAAAAAUUAUGCAUUGCAGAGUUUUCCUUGAUCAAUACCUCCUUUUUUUUUUUUAAACUUCUACUUGUACUUAUCAAAAGUUGGCAAGGAAAUUGUGUCAUUUAAAAAGUAACUACUCCUAAGGGGUGGUAUACUCAUUUCAAUACAAUGACUUAUCUAUUUCUUGUCUUCACAAACUUGGCUCGUGAAGCUUUCUUCUCCAGUUUCUCCCUCUUUUUGCGAGUCUUUUCGUCCUCCAUAUCUCCCUGGUUAACAGAGGAUAAUAGAUCUUACGAAAAUGCCUUUAAUACCUUUGAAAAUGAUUAGAACUGGAGAAGAAAAUGUACCUCAGAGCUUUGUGAUAAAAAUCCUCUAAUGAAUCCAAAAGAUUUGUAUGCUCCAAAUGCUGGUAUCUGAAAAGCAUUAAGGAAGUGUAACUCCACCACGUAUCAAAUAUCAUGCUAACUGAUCUCAUACAUGCUAUUUGUUAGGAGGCAAUCCAAAUAUAAGAACAAAUGUCUCAAUAAGUACAAGCAAGGAAAACCGAUCUAUGUAAAUGCUUUAUCAACCUACCAAUUAAGUAGUUAUUGCUGAUAAACAUCAGAUUCAAGCAAAUAUUUUACAGUUCAAUAACUCCACCUUGGUUUUUUCAUAGAAUAUAAUUCUUCACUCCCAAAAUUAUAAUCUAGUUUGACUUUAAUACGGAGAUUAGGAAAAUUCUUUUGAAUGAAUUAUGUUUUGUUAGUUUACUAACUUUAUCCUUUAGUGUAUAGAUGUACAGAAAUCAAGGUAAACUAUUUGAAGGGUAUUAUUCACAAAAAUAACCUUUAGACUUAUUGAUUUACUAAACUAAAUAUCUAGACAAUUAAUUUGGGACACCCCAAAUAAGUGACAUGGGCCGUUAUUUUGGAAUAGAGGGAAAGGUUUAUCAGAUAUUUUUCUCCUAAGUGUAGGGAUAUACAGUAUGACUAAUUCUCUGAAUAGAAAUAUAGCAUGACCCUUGGACAUUGCCAAUCUAAAAUAUUUCUAUAAAUACAUAUAUAAACUUAUCCAGAAAAAGUCAUUAACUUGCACUUGCAUUUGUGCCAGUACACAUGCAUAUACAUUUUCUAUCACUCCCUCAGUAUGGAAGCAAAGAUUCAAAACUUCAUUAAAAGGAGUCGAUUGCUUCCUUUACUAAUAUGUUAAAGCUUGCUAAUCUGAAUAUCAAGAAGUAGAAGAUAUUUUCAGGUUCAUUUAGUAUAUCUUAGGAGCAUAUAGAAACAAACAAGAACUACUGUUUUUCCAAUUCGAAUAAAGGAGAGUUGAAUUCCCUAGCAGAAGUAUACAUACUCUGGGCACCAUAACUCUUUCGAAAACAAAUUGGUAUACGAUUUCGUCCUUUACUAGCCUCUAAGGUGUAAUUUCCAAAGCAAGCUAUGAGUGUUGCCCUGUACAUCUAGAUGCAAUUUUACAAAAGGAUUAAUCUAUGGGAUCUUACCAGCAGGUAUGUGUACCAAAAUUUUCCAGAGAUAUGGAUGUGAUUUGCACGAAGCUUGUAAUGUAGAUAACAUCAUGCAGAUAGCUGCAAAAAAUUACCAACAGGGACACAACAGUAUUAUUUAUUUAUACCACAUGCCAAAAACUAGAAAUCUACACCAAAAAAAAAAAAAUCAUUAGAGAAGGAUCAACUCUCAUUAUUUUAUUCUGGAAUAUAGUCCAAAGUGAAGAAAUUCCCCUUUCGUAUAAUAAUUAGGUAAGAAUAGUCCCAAGUCUUUAUAUAUUGUUCACUUGCUACCAGUGGUGGUCCAUACAACAAACAUUUGUUACUACACACAAUAAGAAAUACAAGAUAAAUUUAAUCACAUGGGUGGUAUAAAGGAAUAGAAGAACAUUUCCAUCAUCUUAAUUGAUUAUCCACAUACUUAUCUUAGAUGAGGAUAGCAUAUCCUCCUUUGUUAUCAACCUCUUGUUUAUAUUCUUUAUAAAUCCUCGUUCAUGUGCAAUUCUUGAUCUAAUUAUCAAAUUUGAUUACCAUAUCAACUCAGUGCCAUUUUGCAACAUAGCCAACAGGCAAAUGCGGAACUCUAGCAGAUUAUAAACAUCCUAAGAAAAUAAUAUGUUAAAAAAUAAACAAAUAUUUUUUAAAUAAACAAAGAAAAGAAUAGAUUUAAAAAAAUCUGGAAAUUUAGGCAUACUGCUGUACCCAUUAUCUUGAUUGAAAGAGGCGCAGAGAAUGGAGGAGUUAGAGGACUGGCUAGUCAUUGUUGGAAUUGUUGGUGGGAUCGUUGGGGAAGAAGAUAAAAUUUAACUUAUAUACCUUUAGGUCCGGCUUGAACUAGAAGAGAACAGAAAACGGAAUGUAUCGAAAUAGACAGCGUUAUGGGAGAUGAUGGUUAGCCAGAUCGUGAGCCGUUAAUGUAUUCUGUGAUUGGCUAGAUCGUGACUGAUUAGGAAACUGUAUAAAAAAGAAGGCCGAGUUAUAGAAUAAACAACAAUCUUUUAAAAGUUUUUAAAUUUUGGUCAAUUGUUUUAAUUUUAUUAAUUUUUCUCUAAUUUUCAGAAUUUAUUUUCCCUAAAUUAGCGACAGAAAAUUAAUAGCUAAAUAGGUGAAAGGUGGUUGCUAAAAAUAGUCAAAUCCGUCGCUAAAAUAUUUUUUGUGAAUUUUUAAAUAUUAAUUUUAGGCUGUCACUGAUUAGUCUAAUCGGUUCAAUUUUUUAUUUCAUAUUUAUUUAUUUGGUAGCUAAUCAAUAUAUUCAGUGGCAAAAUUUUUAAUUAAGUUAAUUAAUUUGCGUAUUUAGUAGCAAAGCCAUGUCAAUUUGAUUUCACAAGAAUUUCUAAAAAUUUACCUGUUGAAAGCCACAAUACAUUAUAACCAUUCUGCAAUUCCCCANNNNNNNNNNNNNNNNNNNNNNNNNNNNNNNNNNNNNNNNNNNNNNNNNNNNNNNNNNNNNNNNNNNNNNNNNNNNNNNNNNNNNNNNNNNNNNNNNNNNNNNNNNNNNNNNNNNNNNNNNNNNNNNNNNNNNNNNNNNNNNNNNNNNNNNNNNNNNNNNNNNNNNNNNNNNNNNNNNNNNNNNNNNNNNNNNNNNNNNNNNNNNNNNNNNNNNNNAACUUGUUCUUGCAUUAUGCACUUCAUUUCCAACAAGUUUGUCUUUGAUUGAAGCGAGCUGUCGUAUGACAUCAGGAAUGCUCAUUCUUUCGCUUGGUGAUGCAACAGAACAAUCGACUCUAAUUUGAAAUAUUGAAAUCAAGCACUCUACUGAUACAUUACUAAUUGCUUCAACUUUUUCUGAAACAAGAACCGGAUCCACCACCUCCACCACAUUAUUACGCAAAGCAACCUUGACAAAGUUAUGAAGAUUAAAAGAUCCGUUAAAGAUUUCAUCGGUAGGCCUCUUUCCUGUGAACAUUUCCAAUAAGAGAAUUCCAUAACUGUACACAUCACCGUAUGUGGAUACCUCAUUACCCAUUCCACAUUCUAAAAUUUAUUCAAAAGAAUUAUUGGUUAAGAGAAUAUAAAGUUGCAUAAGACGAUGAUAGAGUUACACUAUUAAUUAGAACAUUAUAGUUUUAUGUAAAAUCAAGAUUACCUGGAGGAGCAUACCCAACUGUUCCUCUUACUCCAGUAGAACUUGAUUCACUAUUGUGAUAGAUUGCUUCGAGAGGAAGGAAUCUAGCGAGCCUGAAAUCACUAACAUGUCCUGUCAGUUCAUUGUCAAGAAGAACAUUGCUCGGUUUUAAAUCACGAUGAACAAUUGGUAUUUCGCAAUUAUUGUGGAGAUAAUCAAGAGCAGAAGCAACAUCAAUAGUAAUAUUUAGUCUAUGAAGAAUGUUCAAUUUCUUUGUUGCCUCACUUUCUUCAUUUGUGCUUACAGUUGGAUGCAACCAGUCAUCUAAGCUUGCAUUAACCAUAAACUCAUAAACCAAAGCCUUAAAAUCAUUUCCAUGGUGAUCUACACUUGAACAAGCAGUUAGUACUUUAACAAGAUUCCUGUGUCUAAUACUUCUUAAGGCUUCACAUUCAGCAAGAAAACUCUUGAAAGCUCCGCGUCGCAUAAGGUUAAACACCUUGACAGCAAUUAAGGUUGCUCCACCAUCAAGUGUUCCCUUAUAAACAGAACCAAAAUUUCCCAUACCAAUCAAAUUAUCAGAAGAGAAUCCAUUUGUAGAUUUAUGCAGAGUUCGAUAAGAUAAUUCCAAAAUUUUCUUAUCUGAAAAAUUGGAAGCAGCAGGUUCCUUUCUUAUCUUUUGCUUAAGCCUCAGAAGAAACAGAACUGAUAAUACCAAUAAGGCUCCUACAAUCACAGAAAUAAUAGCAACCACUAACUUCAAUGUAGGAGUCAAUCUAUUUUUCUUAUGCCUUAGGCACUUAGGCAAAUGAAACUUAGGUAUGCCUCCACAAAGCAUAUUAUUUCAUAAGACGAUGAUAGAGUUACACUAUUAAUUAGAACAUUAUAGUUUUAUGUAAAAUCAAGAUUACCUGGAGGAGCAUACCCAACUGUUCCUCUUACUCCAGUAGAACUUGAUUCACUAUUGUGAUAGAUUGCUUCGAGAGGAAGGAAUCUAGCGAGCCUGAAAUCACUAACAUGUCCUGUCAGUUCAUUGUCAAGAAGAACAUUGCUCGGUUUUAAAUCACGAUGAACAAUUGGUGUUUCCCAAUUAUUGUGGAGAUAAUCAAGAGCAGAAGCAACAUCAAUAGUAAUAUUUAGUCUAUGAAGAAUGUUCAAUUUCUUUGUUGCCUCACUUUCUUCAUUUGUGCUUACAGUUGGAUGCAACCAGUCAUCUAAGCUUGCAUUAACCAUAAACUCAUAAACCAAAGCCUUAAAAUCAUUUCCAUGGUGAUCUACACUUGAACAAGCAGUUAGUACUUUAACAAGAUUCCUGUGUCUAAUACUUCUUAAGGCUUCACAUUCAGCAAGAAAACUCUUGAAAGCUCCGCGUCGCAUAAGGUUAAACACCUUGACAGCAAUUAAGGUUGCUCCACCAUCAAGUGUUCCCUUAUAAACAGAACCAAAAUUUCCCAUACCAAUCAAAUUAUCAGAAGAGAAUCCAUUUGUAGAUUUAUGCAGAGUUCGAUAAGAUAAUUCCAAAAUUUUCUUAUCUGAAAAAUUNNNNNNNNNNNNNNNNNNNNNNNNNNNNNNNNNNNNNNNNNNNNNNNNNNNNNNNNNNNNNNNNNNNNNNNNNNNNNNNNNNNNNNNNNNNNNNNNNNNNNNNNNNNNNNNNNNNNNNNNNNNNNNNNNNNNNNNNNNNNNNNNNNNNNNNNNNNNNNNNNNNNNNNNNNNNNNNNNNNNNNNNNNNNNNNNNNNNNNNNNNNNNNNNNNNNNNNNNNNNNNNNNNNNNNNNNNNNNNNNNNNNNNNNNNNNNNNNNNNNNNNNNNNNNNNNNNNNNNNNNNNNNNNNNNNNNNNNNNNNNNNNNNNNNNNNNNNNNNNNNNNNNNNNNNNNNNNNNNUAGAAAUAUAGGAAUUGUGAAGGUAUGGAGCCACUAAAUUUGUUUUGAGAAAGAUCUAAUGCAAGCAAGUUUUCACAUUUGCCAAUAUUUGAUGGAAUACUACCUGAAAGGUUGUUUUCAGAAGCGAGGAAAUGAAUUAUGUUCGUUAAGUUUCCGAUAGAGGAUGGAAUUUCUCCUGAAAACAUGUUAUUGUGCAAAGCAAACACAACUAGAUUUCGAAGUUUUCCAAUACUAUCAGGAAUAAAACCUGAAAGAUUGUUAUUCCACACCUCAAAAUCCUGCAGGCUUACAAGAUUGCCUACGUCAGAUGGAACGUUUCCAAUUAUUUGAUUGUUAUUAAGUGCAAAUAUCACCAAACUAGUUGAAAGAUUGCCAAUGGUUUCAGGUA